rnacentral:rRNA from 1 species
GACGAACGCUGGCGGCGUGCUUAACACAUGCAAGUCGAACGGAAAGGCCCUUCGGGGUACUCGAGUGGCGAACGGGUGAGUAACACGUGGGUGAUCUGCCCUGCACUUUGGGAUAAGCCUGGGAAACUGGGUCUAAUACCGAAUAGGAUCAUGCUCUUCAUGGGGUGUGGUGGAAAGCUUUUGCGGUGUGGGAUGGGCCCGCGGCCUAUCAGCUUGUUGGUGGGGUAAUGGCCUACCAAGGCGACGACGGGUAGCCGGCCUGAGAGGGUGACCGGCCACACUGGGACUGAGAUACGGCCCAGACUCCUACGGGAGGCAGCAGUGGGGAAUAUUGCACAAUGGGCGCAAGCCUGAUGCAGCGACGCCGCGUGAGGGAUGACGGCCUUCGGGUUGUAAACCUCUUUCAAUAGGGACGAAGCGCAAGUGACGGUACCUAUAGAAGAAGGACCGGCCAACUACGUGCCAGCCGCCGCCGUAAAAC